rnacentral:rRNA from 1 species
CCCUUAGAUGUUCUGGGCCGCACGCGCGCUACACUGAUGCAUUCAACAAGCCUAGCCUUGACCGAGAGGUCCGGGUAAUCUUUGAAACUGCAUCGUGAUGGGGCUAGAUUAUUGCAAUUAUUAAUCUUCAACGAGGAAUGCCUAGUAAGCGUGAUUCAUCAAAUCGCGUUGAUUACGUCCCUGCCCUUUGUACACACCGCCCGUCGCUCCUACCGAUUGAAUGUGUUGGUGAGGAGCUCGGAUUGGCAGCAGUUGGUGGUUCGCCACCGGCUAUUGCUGAGAAGUCCUCCAAACCGCCCCAUUUAGAGGAAGGAGAANUCGUAGCA